AACAGAAGUAACGUUUUGGAUUGCAAACACGAGAUUCGACGAUGCUGAAAAUCCAGAGCAACGUACACAAAAUGUUGGAGGAACUCUGCAGUUUUACAACAUCAAAUCUUCCAUUGCAAAACAUUAAAUUACAUCAUCUUUCAAGUGAGGAUGUUGCACAACGUAAGACACUUCAUGAAAGAGAUUACAUCUUUGCAACACUUUAUUCAGAACAAAUUACUCUAUACAUUCCUGUUCAACAUCUUGGCAUUUCCAAGUAAUUGCAGUCAUGAAACAGAAUAUUGGAACAUUGGAAAGGAUAACACAUAUUUUGAGCUUCUCAUGAGAAGGCGAACUUAU